CUCACCGAUCACCUCAAGUGCAAAGAGUGGCUCAUACCGUUUGGAAAGGACAAAGACCAAGCUGAAUAAUUAUAGGAUCACUUCCUCUUCUCUUGGAAGGCAGAAAUAAAUAUCCAAUGGGAAGAGGGCAUGAUACAGGUAGACUCUGAUAAGAAAUCUGGCGAACAUGAGAAGUGGACAAGGUCCAUAGCAUAUCAGUUCAGGACCAUCAUCUUGGAGAAGGAAUUUGAUGUUGGUGUUUUAGAAAGUUCACCAAUGAUUUGGCCAUAAAAUAAGAGAUGGAGGAGUUCCUGAAAGCAUGUGUAGAAAGACUUACAGAAGAAAUAAGAAACUGAAGUCAAGGAAACAGGAAAUAGUAAAAAGAAAGGAUAUGAAAGAUGUUACAUUUAGGGGAAGCUGGGUGAAGAAUAGAUGAAACUUCUACAUACUCUUUUUGCAAGUACUUGUGAGUCUACAAUCAUUUCAAAAUAAAAACUUACAACAAUUUUUUUAAAAGACAUGAGAAAAUUGAGAUGGAGAAACAAACUGUCUUAAGAGCAAUUCCAUUGUAGUUUGAAUAGGCUAAAGGAAGCUUUAGUGAACUUCUCACCAUUCUUUAUUCGACAUUCAGGG
rnacentral:lncRNA from 1 species